CAGAUUUGGUGACGUCUCGCACAAGACUGUUACCACGGUUCAGAAACUUGCCGGUUUACUGAACCUUCGAAAAACCACCCUGCAAGGUGGUUUUUUCGU
rnacentral:antisense_RNA from 1 species